UACGUAGGGUGCAAGCGUUUAAUCGGAAUUACUGGGCGUAAAGCGUGCGCAGGCGGUUUUGUAAGUCUGUCGUGAAAGCCCCGGGCUCAACCUGGGAAUUGCGAUGGAGACUGCAAGGCUUGAAUCUGGCAGAGGGGGGUAGAAUUCCACGUGUAGCAGGUGAAAUGCGUAGAGAUGUGGAGGAACACCGAUGGCGAAGGCAGCCCCCUGGGUCAAGAUUGACGCUCAUGCACGAAAGCGUGGGGAGCAAACAGG
rnacentral:rRNA from 1 species